UACGGGGGGGGGCAAGCGUUGUUCGGAAUUACUGGGCGUAAAGCGCGCGUAGGCGGACCUGCAAGUCGGGGGUGAAAGCCCGAGGCUCAACCUCGGAACUGCCUUCGAUACUGCGGGUCUCGAGUCCGGGAGAGGUGAGUGGAAUUCCUAGUGUAGAGGUGAAAAUUCGUAGAUAUUAGGAAGAACACCAGUGGCGAAGGCGGCUCACUGGCCCGGUACUGACGCUGAGGCGGCGAAA
rnacentral:rRNA from 1 species